rnacentral:rRNA from 1 species
CCUGGCUCAGGAUGAACGCUAGCUACAGGCUUAACACAUGCAAGUCGAGGGGCAUCAGGAAGAAAGCUUGCUUUCUUUGCUGGCGACCGGCGCACGGGUGAGUAACACGUAUCCAACCUGCCCUUUACUCGGGGAUAGCCUUUCGAAAGAAAGAUUAAUACCCGAUAGUAUAAUGAUUCCGCAUGGUUUCAUUAUUAAAGGAUUCCGGUAAAGGAUGGGGAUGCGUUCCAUUAGGUUGUUGGUGAGGUAACGGCUCACCAAGCCUUCGAUGGAUAGGGGUUCUGAGAGGAAGGUCCCCCACAUUGGAACUGAGACACGGUCCAAACUCCUACGGGAGGCAGCAGUGAGGAAUAUUGGUCAAUGGGCGCUAGCCUGAACUAGCCAAGUAGCGUGAAGGAUGAAGGCUCUAUGGGUCGUAAACUUCUUUUAUAUAAGAAUAAAGUGCAGUAUGUAUACUGUUUUGUAUGUAUUAUAUGAAUAAGGAUCGGCUAACUCCGUGCCAGCAGCCGCGGUAAUACGGAGGAUCCGAGCGUUAUCCGGAUUUAUUGGGUUUAAAGGGAGCGUAGGUGGACUGGUAAGUCAGUUGUGAAAGUUUGCGGCUCAACCGUAAAAUUGCAGUUGAUACUGUCAGUCUUGAGUACAGUAGAGGUGGGCGGAAUUCGUGGUGUAGCGGUGAAAUGCUUAGAUAUCACGAAGAACUCCGAUUGCGAAGGCAGCUCACUGGACUGCAACUGACACUGAUGCUCGAAAGUGUGGGUAUCAAACAGGAUUAGAUACCCUGGUAGUCCACACAGUAAACGAUGAAUACUCGCUGUUUGCGAUAUACAGUAAGCGGCCAAGCGAAAGCAUUAAGUAUUCCACCUGGGGAGUACGCCGGCAACGGUGAAACUCAAAGGAAUUGACGGGGGCCCGCACAAGCGGAGGAACAUGUGGUUUAAUUCGAUGAUACGCGAGGAACCUUACCCGGGCUUAAAUUGCAGUGGAAUGAUGUGGAAACAUGUCAGUGAGCAAUCACCGCUGUGAAGGUGCUGCAUGGUUGUCGUCAGCUCGUGCCGUGAGGUGUCGGCUUAAGUGCCAUAACGAGCGCAACCCUUAUCUUUAGUUACUAACAGGUCAUGCUGAGGACUCUAGAGAGACUGCCGUCGUAAGAUGUGAGGAAGGUGGGGAUGACGUCAAAUCAGCACGGCCCUUACGUCCGGGGCUACACACGUGUUACAAUGGGGGGUACAGAAGGCAGCUAGCGGGUGACCGUAUGCUAAUCCCAAAAGCCUCUCUCAGUUCGGAUCGAAGUCUGCAACCCGACUUCGUGAAGCUGGAUUCGCUAGUAAUCGCGCAUCAGCCACGGCGCGGUGAAUACGUUCCCGGGCCUUGUACACACCGCCC